AUUGAACGCUGGCGGCCGGCUUAACACAUGCAAGUCGAGCGAGCGGCGGACGUGUGAGUAAUGUCUGGGAAACUGCCUGAUGGAGGGGGAUAACUACUGGAAACGGUAGCUGAUACCGCAUAGCAUCAGCUGUGCCCAGAUGGGAUUAGCUAGUAGGUGGGGUAAUGGCUCACCAAGGCGACGAUCCCGAGCUGGUCUGAGAGGAUGUACAGCCACACGGGAACUUGGACACGGUCCAGACUCCUACGGGAGGCAGCAGGGGGGAAUAUUGCACAAUGGGCGCAAGCCGGAUACAGCAAUGCCGCUUGUGUGAAGAAGGCCUUAGGGUUGUAAAGCACUUUCAGAGAGGGGGCGUUACUCGCAGAAGAAGCACCGGCUAACUCCGUGCCAGCAGCCGCGGUAAUAC
rnacentral:rRNA from 1 species